rnacentral:rRNA from 1 species
GAUGAACGCUGGCGGCGUGCCUAAUACAUGCAAGUAGAACGCUGAAGGAGGAGCUUGCUCUUCUGGAUGAGUUGCGAACGGGUGAGUAACGCGUAGGUAACCUGCCUGGUAGCGGGGGAUAACUAUUGGAAACGAUAGCUAAUACCGCAUGACAACAGUUAUUGCAUGAUAACUGUUUAAAAGGGGCAACUGCUCCACUACCAGAUGGACCUGCGUUGUAUUAGCUAGUUGGUGAGGUAACGGCUCACCAAGGCGACGAUACAUAGCCGACCUGAGAGGGUGAUCGGCCACACUGGGACUGAGACACGGCCCAGACUCCUACGGGAGGCAGCAGUAGGGAAUCUUCGGCAAUGGACGGAAGUCUGACCGAGCAACGCCGCGUGAGUGAAGAAGGUUUUCGGAUCGUAAAGCUCUGUUGUAAGAGAAGAACGAGUGUGAGAGUGGAAAGUUCACACUGCGACGGUAUCUUACCAGAAAGGGACGGCUAACUACGUG